rnacentral:tRNA from 1 species
AGGGAUGUGACUCAGCAGGUAGAGUGCAGGCCUUGUAUGCCUGAAGUUGCUGGUUCAAUCCCUGGUAACUCGC